AUACGGAGGGGGCAAGCGUUGUUCGGAUUUACUGGGCGUAAAGGGUGCGUAGGCGGAUUCAGAAGUGAAACGUGAAAGCCUAAGGCUCAACCUUAGAAUUGCGUUUCAAACCAUGAGUCUUGAGUAUGUGAGAAGUAAGUAGAAUUCUCAGUGUAGCGGUGAAAUGCGUAGAUAUUGAGAAGAAUACCAGUGGUGAAGACGGCUUACUAAUGCAAUCCUGACGCUGAGGCACGAAGGCUAGGGGAGCAAACAGGAUUAGAAACCCCAGUAGUCC
rnacentral:rRNA from 1 species